AGCAAGCAACUUCGCAGAAUACGGCCCCAACUCCAAGCUCAAGCGCCACCCAUGGAAGUCCAAGAAGCUAAAUUUGCAGAGCAAACGUGGAUCGAGUGAGAAUCAAGACUCGAUCCGCUCUGAAAAGUUCAGUGGAGAGUAAUUGAAAGAAUUAUAGGCUAAAAGAAAAUGAAUACGACGAAUCUAAGAUUGGGAAUUGAGGGUUUUU
rnacentral:misc_RNA from 1 species